rnacentral:tRNA from 1 species
AGAUUAGCCGGGCUAUAUAGGGGCUUCUAACCUUUAUUAGGGGGGUUCGACUCCUCCAUAAUCUU